GCCGAAUCGUGGCCAAAAAUCCGAUUUUUGAAAGUACGAAAAUCUGGCAAUCGAGCAUAUAAUCCUUAUCUACAUCCUUUAGUAGGUGUGAAAUGACCUAUCAAAUCUUAUGUAAUUGUUUUUACGAUCAGAUACAUGGUGGCGAACUUCACAUCCUCGAGGUAAGUAAACAAACGUGAGAAUUUAAAGUUCCCGUUAUAGUGUCUUGCCUUGUGUCGUUUUGUGAUAAGUUGGCGUAAAUCCCCGAUCAAAUAUGGAAAAGAAAGGUGAAAGAGUUUUUCACGUAACGCAUGAAACGCUUUUUGAAAAAUGGAAGAAGUGCUCCACAGAAGAUUUCAUUUUCCUUUUUUCCGAGUCAAUUUUUCCGAUCGAUUUAAUCUAACUUAUAAAUGUUUUCCUCAAUUUACUCAUUUUGCAAGGUUUUAGUUUCUUUGAUCAAAUUCAUGUAUUUCCUUUUUGAUAUUUUUUACUGAUGGAUGAAAUAUAUUUUUGUGUGUAUUUUAUGGAAGACUUCUUUCCUAUUUUUUUCUAGUCAAUUUAUUUCAAUUGUUGUUAAACCUGUAAUUGAUUUUUCUGAUGUAAAAGGUCUCAGUUUUGUUUUUAUGCCAGAUUUGUGUAUAUCACUGAUGCAUUUUUUCAGAACCCAUCGUUUUUCUAUUAAUGAGUAUAAUGUUAACUUUGUUAUGGUCUAUCAUGCGAAAUAUGUCUUUCUUGUUUUUUUUUUUUUCUAGUCGAUUUUUGUCAUUUAUUGUUCCUUUUUAAGAAGCUGUUUAUUUUGUGAAGUGGUUUAAAUUUUGCUUCCCUAAAUUGAUGUAAGCACAUUACUGUUUAUGUUCUCAUUAGAUUAUCUUUCUAUUAAUGACGUAUUUUUCCGA